rnacentral:rRNA from 1 species
GUGAACGCUGGCGGUAGGCCUAACACAUGCAAGUCGCACGGCAGCACAGUAAGAGCUUGCUCUUACGGGUGGCGAGUGGCGGACGGGUGAGGAAUACAUCGGAAUCUACUUUUUCGUGGGGGAUAACGUAGGGAAACUUACGCUAAUACCGCAUACGACCUACGGGUGAAAGCAGGGGAUCUUCGGACCUUGCGCGAUUGAAUGAGCCGAUGUCGGAUUAGCUAGUUGGCGGGGUAAAGGCCCACCAAGGCGACGAUCCGUAGCUGGUCUGAGAGGAUGAUCAGCCGCACUGGAACUGAGACACGGUCCAGACUCCUACGGGAGGCAGCAGUGGGGAAUAUUGGACAAUGGGCGCAAGCCUGAUCCAGCCAUACCGCGUGGGUGAAGAAGGCCUUCGGGUUGUAAAGCCCUUUUGUUGGGAAAGAAAAGCAGCAGGUUAAUACCCCGCUGUUCUGACGGUACCCAAAGAAUAAGCACCGGCUAACUUCGUG